CUAGUUGGUGGGGUAAUGGCCUACCAAGGCUAAGACGGGUAGCUGGUCUGAGAGGAUGAACAGCCACACUGGAACUGAGACACGGUCCAGACUCCUACGGGAGGCAGCAGUGGGGAAUCUUGCGCAAUGGGCGAAAGCCUGACGCAGCGACGCCGCGUGAGCGAUGAAGGCCUUCGGGUUGUAAAGCUCUGUGGGGAGGAAAGAAUAAGGGUUGGCUAAUAUCCAGCUCGAUGACGGUACCUCCUUAGCAAGCACCGGCUAACUCUGUGCCAGCAGCCGCGGUAAGACAGAGGGUGCAAACGUUGUUCGGAAUUACUGGGCGUAAAGCGCGUGUAGGCGGCCCUGCAAGUCGGAUGUGAAAUCCCACGGCUCAACCGUGGAAGUGCAUUCGAAACUGCAGGGCUAGAGUCCUGGAGAGGAAGGUGGAAUGCUUGGUGUAGAGGUGAAAUUCGUAGAUAUCAAGCGGAACACCGGUGGCGAAGGCGGCCUUCUGGACAGUGACUGACGCUGAGACGCGAAAGCGUGGGGAGCAAACAGGAUUAGAUACCCUGGUAGUCCACGCCGUAAACGAUGAGUGCUAGGUGUCACGGGCUUUGACCCUCGUGGUGCCGAAGCUAACGCGUUAAGCACUCCGCCUGGGGAGUACGGUCGCAAGACUAAAACUCAAAGGAAUUGACG
rnacentral:rRNA from 1 species